rnacentral:rRNA from 1 species
GACGGAGGAUGCAAGCGUUUAUCCGGAAUGAUUGGGCGUAAAGCGUCCGCAGGUGGCAGUUCAAGUCUGCUGUCAAAGACCGGGGCUUAACUUCGGAAAGGCAGUGGAAACUGAACAGCUAGAGUAUGGUAGGGGCAGAGGGAAUUCCUGGUGUAGCGGUGAAAUGCGUAGAGAUCAGGAAGAACAUCGGUGGCGAAGGCGCUCUGCUGGACCAUAACUGACACUCAGGGACGAAAAGCUAGGGGGAGCGAAUGGG